rnacentral:rRNA from 1 species
CUAGCCGUAAACGAUGUAGACUUGGCGUUGGUGGGGUAAAAUCCAUCAGUGCCGAAGCUAACGCGAUAAGUCUACCGCCUGGGGACUACGGCCGCAAGGUUAAAACUCAAAGGAAUUGACGGGUCCCCGCACAAGCAGCGGAGCGUGUGGUUUAAUUCGAUGCAACACGAAGAACCUUACCUGGGUUUGACAUGCAAGUGGUAGGAAACUGAAAAGGGACCGACCCUUCGGGGAGCUUGCACAGGUGC